UUCCUACGGGGGGCAGCAGUAGGGAAUCUUCCACAAUGGACGAAAGUCUGAUGGAGCAACGCCGCGUGAGUGAAGAAGUAUUUCGGUAUGUAAAGCUCUAUCAGCAGGAACGGGACAAGACGGUACCUGACUAAGAAGCCCCGGCUAACUACGUGCCAGCAGCCGCGGUAAUACGUAGGGGGCAAGCGUUAUCCGGAAUCACUGGGUGUAAAGGGAGCGUAGACGGCUGAGCAAGCCUGAAGUGAAAGGCGGGGGCCCAACCCCCGGACUGCUUUGGGAACUGUACGGCUGG
rnacentral:rRNA from 1 species